UACGGAGGGUGCAAGCGUUGCUCGGAAUUAUUGGGUGUAAAGCGCGUGUAGGCGGCUUUGCAAGUCGGAUGUGAAAGCCCACGGCUCAACCGUGGAAGUGCAUCCGAAACUGCAUAGCUGGAGUCCCGGAGAGGAAGGUGGAAUGCUUGGUGUAGAGGUGAAAUUCGUAGAUAUCAAGCAGAACACCUGCGGCGAAGGCGGCCUUCUGGACGGUGACUGACGCUGAGACGCGAAAGCGUGGGGAGCAAACAGG
rnacentral:rRNA from 1 species